GUUUUCAGUUCAAUAUAAAUGAUUGGUUAAUGAAUAAUCAUUGGUUUGUUUUGGAGAGAUACCAUAUAUUUAAUGGAGCAAUCAACUCAAUUUCCACAGAUUCUAACGACUAAAUUUGCCAGAAAUUCAGAAGUAUAACAUAACUUGUCACUGAUUAGCUUUUUCUAUAUUUCCAAUAAUGUUGCCCUUGCUUCCACAUUAUGUUAAUAUGUAGUAGUUUCAAACAGCCUAACAGUUCAUCUCUGCAAAAUCAUCCAUGCUGUGCCCCAACAGCUGUUCAGAUGUUCAGAUCAGUAACCCUGCAUAACAGUACGUGUGGUUUACAAGUUAUCGUUGGGUAGAGCCAGUGCUUUAAAGCAUGGAGCAGAACAUGACGUAAACAUUAACUAUGUUCUGUAGAUAUCAAACAUUGCCAUAUCCUGUGCACCUCUGUGUUUUUAACUAGAUUGUUUUACCACCAUCUCUAAAUGUUGAAUUGAGUUCAACAUGUAACUAAUAAUCACUAUGUUCUGUUUCUUGCGUUCAUGUCCUCUGUUUUAACAUUUGGCACUCCAGAUGUUGUGGACAACAACU